rnacentral:rRNA from 1 species
AUUGAACGCUGGCGGCAGGCCUAACACAUGCAAGUCGAGCGGAUGAAGGGAGCUUGCUCCUGGAUUCAGCGGCGGACGGGUGAGUAAUGCCUAGGAAUCUGCCUGGUAGUGGGGGAUAACGUCGGGAAACGGGCGCUAAUACCGCAUACGUCCGGAGGGGGAAAGUGGGGGAUCUUCGGACCUCACGCUAUCAGAUGAGCCUAGGUCGGAUUAGCUAGUUGGUGGGGUAAAGGCCUACCAAGGCGACGAUCCGUAACUGGUCUGAGAGGAUGAUCAGUCACACUGGAACUGAGACACGGUCCAGACUCCUACGGGAGGCAGCAGUGGGGAAUAUUGGACAAAGGGCGAAAGCCUGAUCCAGCCAUGCCGCGUGUGUGAAGAAGGUCUUCGGAUUGUAAAGCACUUUAAGUUGGGAGGAAGGGCAGUAAGUUAAUACCUUGCUGUUUUGACGUUACCAACAGAAUAAGCACCGGCUAACUUCGUG